rnacentral:rRNA from 1 species
GGACUACUGGGGUAUCUAAUCCUGUUCGCUCCCCACACUUUCGCUCCUCAGCGUCAGGUAAUGCCCAGAGAACCGCCUUCGCCACCGGUGUUCCUCCUGAUAUCUGCGCAUUUCACCGCUACACCAGGAAUUCCGUUCUCCCCUGCAUACCUCUAGUCUGCCCGUAUCGGAAGCAGGCUCGGGGUUGAGCCCCGAGUUUUCACUCCCGACGUGACAAACCGCCUACGAGCCCUUUACGCCCAAUAAUUCCGGACAACGCUCGCACCCUACGUAUUACCGCGGCUGCUGGCAC